rnacentral:rRNA from 1 species
UGGGGAAUAUUGGACAAUGGACCAAGAGUCUGAUCCAGCAAUUCUGUGUGCACGAUGAAGUUUUUCGGAAUGUAAAGUGCUUUCAGUUGGGAAGAAAAAAAUGACGGUACCAACAGAAGAAGUGACGGCUAAAUACGUGCCAGCAGCCGCGGUAAUACGUAUGUCACAAGCGUUAUCCGGAUUUAUUGGGCGUAAAGUGCGUCUAGGUGGUUAUGUAAGUCUGAUGUGAAAAUGCAGGGCUCAACUCUGUAUUGCGUUGGAAACUGUAUAACUAGAGUACUGGAGAGGUAAGCGGAACUACAAGUGUAGAGGUGAAAUUCGUAGAUAUUUGUAGGAAUGCCGAUGGGGAAGCCAGCUUACUGGACAGAUACUGACGCUUUAAACACGGAACACGUGGGGUGGGAAACAGGAUUAGAUACCCUGGUAGUCCAUGCCGUAAACGAUGAUUACUAGGUGUUGGGGGUCGAACCUCAGCGCCCAAGCAAACGCGAUAAGUAAUCCGCCUGGGGAGUACGUACGCAAGUAUG